rnacentral:rRNA from 1 species
UACGGGGGGGGCAAGCGUUGUUCGGAAUUACUGGGCGUAAAGGGCUCGUAGGCGGCCAACUAAGUCAGACGUGAAAUCCCUAGGCUCAACCUAGGAACUGCGUCUGAUACUGGAUGGCUUGAAUCCGGGAGAGGGAUGCAGAAUUCCAGGUGUAGCGGUGAAAUGCGUAGAGAUCAGGAAGAACACCGGUGGCGAAAGCGCUCUGCUAGGCCGCAACUGACACUCAUGGACGAAAGCUAGGGGAGCGAAUGGG